UCCGCCUAGCUUAAAUUUAAAGCGUUAGUUUGAAGAGCUGAAGAUAUUAUAUUGUGGUGGGA
rnacentral:tRNA from 1 species